AUUGAACGCUGGCGGCAUGCCUUACACAUGCAAGUCGAACGGCAGCACGGGAGCAAUCCUGGUGGCGAGUGGCGAACGGGUGAGUAAUAUAUCGGAACGUGCCCAGUCGUGGGGGAUAACGCAGCGAAAGCUGUGCUAAUACCGCAUACGAUCUACGGAUGAAAGCGGGGGAUCGCAAGACCUCGCGCGAUUGGAGCGGCCGAUAUCAGAUUAGCUAGUUGGUGAGGUAAAGGCUCACCAAGGCGACGAUCUGUAGCUGGUCUGAGAGGACGAGCAGCCACACUGGAACUGGGACACGGUCCAGACUCCUACGGGAGGCAGCAGUGGGGAAUUUUGGACAAUGGGCGCAAGCCUGAUCCAGCAAUGCCGCGUGCAGGAUGAAGGCCUUCGGGUUGUAAACUGCUUUUGUACGGAACGAAACGGUGAACUCUAAUACAGUUUGCUAAUGACGGUACCGUAAGAAUAAGCACCGGCUAACUACGUGCCAGCCGCCGCAGUAA
rnacentral:rRNA from 1 species